rnacentral:lncRNA from 1 species
CGUCGACCCCACGCCACGCAGAGGUGAAGAUACGCAGGACGUCCUCUAAAGCAACUUCCGUGGGUGCCAGGUUGUGGGCUGGGGGCGGUGCUGACCUUGAGAGAGCGGAGGAGGCGCAGGCGCAGCACAGGUACGUGGGCGGGCGGAUCGUGGUGGCUGCGCUUGCGAGGACCCUGAGGUAGAUUGGGUGGUUUCAACAGGAACGCAUCCACUGUCUGAGAGGUGGCAAUUGAAGCCGGAAGAACAUCUACCAAGAGCAGAGAACCCAGGAAGAAAAUUCUGCCUCUUUAAUACGUUCCAAUAUGGACGUUUUCCAUAUAGAUACCUAUCUAUAUAGAUAGAUGCUCUGGGAUCUGACGGUCCUGGACACCUGUAUGGCUGUGUGCUGUGGUCUUUGCCUAGCCUGCGGUUCACUUUUGCUCUGGCCACCACCUCCCCUCAUUUUAAACUUGAUUUUGUGAGGGGACGAACAGCGUGACAAUUAAAAGAAGAUCUGGGAAUCAAAAGCUUCCUGAGGCCUUCACCAGAAGCAGAUGCUGGUGCCGUGCUUCUACAGCCUGCAGAACUGAAGGACUUUACAGCUUCUCUUUCGCAUAUCCAAAUUGCCAGCAUCACCGCUCUUGCACUCCAAGCCAUUAUUAAGUAAAGUAAAGAACACAAACACUGUGAUACUGCUACACUUGAUCUGAUAACCAAGAAGUCUACUAAGUGACUAACAGCAGAGCAACUGGGAACCUAAUUCUGACCAAAAAGGAGGAAUUGUUUGGCUAAUUGGAAGUGACAGAAACCUUGGGAGAAAGCAACCGCAUACCAAGGAUAAUUAUAAGAAGAAGAGAAGACAUGGAGAAGAGGAGGGAGUAGUUGUGACCGUGGAGGCAGAGAAUGGAGUAAUGUGAUCAUAAAUCAAGGAAUGCUGACAGCCACUAAAGCUGGAGAAGGCCAAGGACAGAUAUUCAAUCCUCCCGUAGAAGUACAGCCCUGCUAAUGCAUUGAUUUUGGACUUCUGGCCUCAGAACUAUUUAUAUAUCAGCUUUUUAUCAGUUGAAAUAAACCACCCUGGGCCGGGUGCAGUGGCUCACACCUGUAAUCCCAGCACUUUGGGAGGCCGAGGUCUGGAAAGCAUGGAAAUUUGUAUCUUCAUUCACUUUUGUUUUCAUGGACUCUUUUCAUGUUUGAACUUUUCAUGGUAUGAGCUGUUUUAUAAUCUAU